rnacentral:rRNA from 1 species
GGCGGCAGGCCUAACACAUGCAAGUCGAGCGGUAGAGAGAAGCUUGCUUCUCUUGAGAGCGGCGGACGGGUGAGUAAUGCCUAGGAAUCUGCCUGGUAGUGGGGGAUAACGCUCGGAAACGGACGCUAAUACCGCAUACGUCCUACGGGAGAAAGCAGGGGACCUUCGGGCCUUGCGCUAUCAGAUGAGCCUAGGUCGGAUUAGCUAGUUGGUGAGGUAAUGGCUCACCAAGGCGACGAUCCGUAACUGGUCUGAGAGGAUGAUCAGUCACACUGGAACUGAGACACGGUCCAGACUCCUACGGGAGGCAGCAGUGGGGAAUAUUGGACAAUGGGCGAAAGCCUGAUCCAGCCAUGCCGCGUGUGUGAAGAAGGUCUUCGGAUUGUAAAGCACUUUAAGUUGGGAGGAAGGGCAGUAAAUUAAUACUUUGCUGUUUUGACGUUACCGACAGAAUAAGCACCGGCUAACUCUGUGCCAGCAGCCGCGGUAAUACAGAGGG